rnacentral:misc_RNA from 1 species
CAGAGUUGUAAAACUCCCAAACCCAUGUGAACAUACCUGUUGCCUCGGCGGACCUGCCCUGUAGCUACCCUGUAGCCGCUCUGUGGUGCCGCCGAAGGACCAUCAAACUCUUUUAUCUCUGUAUCUCUGAGUAAAAAAACAAAUAAGUUA